rnacentral:rRNA from 1 species
UACGUAGGGUGCGAGCGUUAAUCGGAAUUACUGGGCGUAAAGCGUGCGCAGGCGGUUUGUUAAGUCCGCUGUGAAAGCCCCGGGUUCAACCUGGGAAUGGCGGUGGAAACUGGCGAGCUAGAGUGUGGCAGAGGGGGGUGGAAUUCCACGUGUAGCAGUGAAAUGCGUUGAGAUCGGAAGGAACGCCCGUGGCGAAAGCGAGGUCCUGGACGCCAUCUGACGCUGAGACGCGAAAGCCAGGGGAGCGAACGGG